rnacentral:tRNA from 1 species
CGUGAUAGCUCAGUCGGUAGAGCAAAUGACUGUUAAUCAUUGGGUCCCAGGUUCGAGUCCUGGCCCCCUACCCCGACCA